UCACCGUUUACACGGGCAGUUUCUCUAGAGUCCCCGGCAUUACCUGCUGGCAACUAGAGAUGGGGGUUGCGCUCGUUAUGGGACUUAACCCGACACCUCACGACACGAGCUGACGACAGCCAUGCACCACCUGUCACUCGCCCCGAAGGACCCCGCAUCUCUGCGAGUUUUCAAGUGAUGUCAAACCCAGGUAAGGUUCUUCGCGUUGCAUCGAAUUAAUCCGCAUGCUCCGCCGCUUGUGCGGGCCCCCGUCAAUUCCUUUGAGUUUUAGCCUUGCGGCCGUACUCCCCAGGCGGGGCGCUUAAUGCGUUAGCUGCGGCACGGAGACCUGGAGAGAUCCCCACACCUAGCGCCCAACGUUUACAGCGUGGACUAC
rnacentral:misc_RNA from 1 species